GCGGCCUGCCCCGGCGCUGCCCGGGGUCUCCUUCCUCGCCGCCCUUUUCCUGCUUUUACGACAGCCUCCCGGCCUCUCCCAGGGUAGACCUCCAGACAGCUCCGAGUUUCCCUCUGCGCCGUCAAGGAGCAGAAGCUGGCUGCUUCCAGACGUGGAACCCUUGCGUGGCUGCACAGCUCCUGGCAGCUGAGUAGCUGCUGGGGGCACGGUGGGGUUUGAAGAGCCCCUGUAAGCCACACCAGCUGGCACAGGGACACAGUGCCAGGCUCCACAGCCUGCUGACAGGCUGUGCCCCUUGGACAGAGCUCUGCUCCCAGCCUGCGCCGCUCCCCUGACCUCCCACUCGGUGCAUCUCCCUGCCGAGAAGCUCUGCCUGAUCUUAACCUACAUUUUCUCGGUUCAACCCUGGGAGGAGUCUGACUUGGCUGCAGCUUGUGCACCGCUCUCCACGUUACAGGUAGCCAUGGGCUGCAGCCACAUGCUGCCUCAGCAUCUGAUCGGCCAGCCUGUGCAUGCGGGGACACCUAAACCACUCCCGAGCCCCUUGCUUGGGCAGUGCCACCGCUGCUUCUUCCUGUGGCACUGGGGCAGAGAAGGGAGCCACCUGCCUGGCGUUCCUCCCCUGGCACAGGGCCUUCUCAGGGUGCCUGCUGCUCAGCCAGCCCCUUUUUAUGGCUGUCAGGUGAAGCUGUGAGCCAGGCACUUCUUUCCUCUUGUCAGGGAGUGAUUGCUCUCACCUCUGGAUGGAGAGGCUGGCAGCAGCCUGUGCCCUCAAGCCCAGCAGUAAAUGCAGUUGUAUCAGUGGCAGUGUAGUGAUGCCCUGCAUCCUGAGCUUACCUGCCUCCCAGGGAAACCCCUUGAUGGUCUGACCCAUCCAAGUUUAUUUCAGCAUUGCAAAGCUGAGGCCGUUCUAAUUGUUUUGUUUUGCUGACUUUCCUGAAAGCUAUAUCAAACUGAACUCUUCAGGAGUUGCUAUCUCAUCGGCACAUUAUUUACAAGCAGAGUGUGACACACCCUGUUGGGCCCAUGAUAGAAAAUACAGAUAAAUAUCCAAGUGCAGGAUGAGUGUUUUCACUGGCAAGGCAACUAGCAUGGACCUUUUCUUACAAUAAGUUGCUCUUAAACCUUGAGGAGUUGUAGUAUUUCUUUUUUUUUUUGUUAGGAAGCUCAUGUGAGUGUUGAGUAUCACUUCUUGUAUUUCCUACUGCAUCUGUCUAUUCAGAAAACUAAAUCAGAAGUGGUUUUGCUUCCAGAUGGUUUACUGUUCAAAUAAAGAGCUGUCAUGUUA